rnacentral:lncRNA from 1 species
UUGUUGUUUUUUUGGGUUUUUUUGGCCUUAAUCACCCUCCAUAAUAGACAAGGGCUAUAAAUCCCAUUUUAUAGAUAAAGAAACUGAUGCCCAGAGAUGUUAAAUUACUCACCCCAGAAUGGAGACAAGAACCUGGAUCUUCCAGGCCCUGGUGUCUUCCCCACCUGACCCAAUCCUUUCAUUUUCAUUCUUUUUAGUCUUGCACACAGCUCGCUGGCAAGGCCAGAGGGUCCUGGCUCCUCGUUGAACUUACAUACUCCUCCACAAACCCUUCAUUAAAAAAACACAUGGCAGGAGUUCCCGUCGUGGCGCAGUGGCUAACGAAUCUGACUAGGAACCAUGAGGUUUCGGGUUCCAUCCCUGGCCUUGCUCCGGGGGCUAAGGAUCCAUCGUUGCCGUGAGCUGUGGUGUAGGUUGCAGACGCGGCUCGGAUCCCGCGUUGCUGUGGCUCUGGCGUAGGCCAGUGGCUACAGCUCCGAUUCGACCCCUAGCCUGGGAACCUCCAUAUGCCGUGGGAGCGGCCCAAAGAAAUAGCAAAAAGACAAAAAAAAAAAAGUGGAUUCUUAUUUGUGAGCUGAGUUAUGAGUCUCCUGACCAGAUGAAUUCUGGAAGUCAGGCAUUGAGAAGGGGGUGCUUGUCUGAAAGGAGCUGUUUCUGACCAUUAGUCACGAUUUACCAGCGUGCCCAAUGGAAAAGAUGACUGUGUCAGCUUUACGAAAAGCACUUUUUUCCCUUUUAACUCUCCUUAAAAUUAGCUGAUGGUAGGCAGAAUCCUUUGUAUGUAAAAGCAGCUCAGCUCGAGGAAGGCACUCGGACUGUAGAAGCAGCGUUUCUCCUGCCGGGAGGGGUUUUCAGGUGGGGAGGGGGGACCGGAAGUCGGUGGGUGUCACUCGUCCUCAAAGGAGCCCUGUCGCCCUGUCGGUGCAUCUGACGUCAGAGGGUACAGAACUUGUCCUCUGAACAGCACAAGCCAACACGCAGACCACAAGAAGAGGGAGAAAACGGGUCUGGGAGGGUGGUUAACAGCCAUCUGGAUGAUUUUCUUUCGUGAUGGCAGCUUUUCUCUCCAGUGGCUCUCUGAUUGUUUUGUUAUCCCCCUUUAGGGUGAACAGAGAGCGCUGGGUAGUGGGGGCUACUCAUUGCAGGGUUCAGCUAUUUGGGAAUGGUCAUCCUUAGAUACGGUGUCACAUCACAGCCAGGACGUUAGUCCCACAUGAGCCCUCCCAGGGACCUGGCCGAGGUGUUAACAGGCUAUAAACAGGCUGCCUUCCUGGAUGGAUCCUUUAACCAAACCUGAACACAAAGCAUCUUUGAACUGAGGUUAUCUUGUGCCACCUCUUGGUGUCUCCUUCACGUCUCUGGUUUGAGUGAAAACAAGUGUCUUUUCACGUUCCUCAGCUUUGUGGUCACCAGUCUUGCUACACUGGGGGUGGACUCCCCACGAGCAUUGGAUGGCAAAUGAGUGAACAGGGGGUUUUACUGCUGUAAAUGUAGCUCAUUGACUUUUUGGUGUACAGCCGGCAGAAGACAGCCUGUCCCGGGGCCACAGCUGGUUAAAUAGGCAAAUUUGUAUUCAUUUCAUGGCAUUCACGCAGAGAGUAGACCGUUCUUCCUGACACGGGUCUAAGAAAAUAGUCUGAAGUAUCACGGGUCUAAAAAUAUCCACUGGUAAGUCCUGGACACACUACAUCGCUGAGAAGAGAGGAAGCAGAGAAAGCUGAGGAAAUAACCAGGCAUCAGAUAAAAAGGAACUGAAAUUUAAAUAUAAAAGCCCUAAAAUCUGUAGAAGCAGGAACUUAUGUAAAUGAGCGCUAUAAAUGGGCGCUUCUUAUGACCCCAGAUGUUGAUUUCCAUAUGAACUGUUAGCUGUUUCUCCGACACAGAUAUUACAGGCCUGCUAAUAUAGAAAAUGAGUACUUUUCUGUUUGAAUCGUGAAUGGUCUAAAAUCAUUUCUUUUCAGAAGCAGAUUUGGGGCAUUUGGGGCUUUUUCUUCCUCAGUGAAAACGGCAGGAGGGCAUGGUCAUUUGUUUUCCUUUUACCGGCCCCUCCCCCGUUGUCCCUCCCGGUCCCUUUCAGGGCGUGCUUAUUGAAUCACCGUCCAUAGUAGUAGUAGUAGUAGUAGUGAAAACUGGAAACAGACCAAGCGUUCGUCAGUAAAAGGUGGGGGACUACGUGAUCGCUGGGGGUAAACUCCCCUAAAAAAGGAACCAGCGCUCCUUAGAGACAUGAUCGAUUCCAGGGAGCAGACAGGAAACCACAGGAUGAGCCUGGACUAUCUUGUGGUGCCAGAAAGUGAGGAAGUGCUCAGAAAAUGCUGGGCCCAACUUAGGGCGCUCCCAGCAGCCAGCUCCCGGCUGCCACAUGCAUUUGGGAUCAGGCCUGAAUCUCGUAGCAAAUGGUAGCAAAUUAUGUACUCUUAAAAAAACCCUUUUUAUUGAAAUGAAUGAUUUAUUUUUACAAAUGGAUUAUAGUCCCUUUUAUAGCCUUCUGGAAAUUGCCCAGUGAUAUGCAACUGAAGUAAGGCAUCUUGUCAUCUCAUAAUGCAUAUUUUCUACCACAAAAAUAGGCAGCCGUGGGGGUAAUUUAACACAGUAUUUGAAAUUAGAAUGGUCAGAAAAUCUAGGAUAUGUGGUUGAUCUAUAUGCAUGUGUGUGUGUGUGUGUGUGUGUAAAUAAAUGUGGACAUACACAUCCAGGGUGCCCUUCUGGUCCGUCUAAACUGGCAGUUCCACGUUUGGCCACCAGGGGGCACUUUGCUGAUGUAGGGAAAUGUACAGGGAAACUGCUCGACCCCAGGAUGGAAGGACCACAGACGAAUUCCUCCACAGAGCCUUGACUGGCAACCCCCUGGGGCCCACUGAAAGCAUUCCUCUGGCUGAGCAGGUACUAUGCUCCUAUCCUGGGCUUGAGGGGCUUGGGAUUUAAAUUUUUCUGAGACUGAGGCUUCAGUACAGACGUGAGCAGGCCAGUGGCCAGGGUCGGGUGAGCUGUACUGCGGAGCAGUGCACCGAUGCAGGCUCUGUCAGGAUGCUGGACCCCUUCCGGUCAGGACUGAGAGAGGUGCGCUUGGGCCGCCAGGGAAUCCCAAGCCUGGCACAGCACUCGGGGCUUAGUGAGCGUGCUGAAGGAACAAGUAAAUAUCUUCCUUCUUUGAAAAUAACUUAGAGGAGGAAUUCCUGUUGUGGUUCAGCGGGUUAAGAACCCAACUAGGGUUCAAUCCCUGGCCUCGUUCAGUGGGUUAAGGAUCCAGCGUUGCCAUGAGCUAUGGUGUAGGUCACAGAUGCGGCUCAGUUCUGGAGUUGCUGUGGCUGUAGCUCCGAUUCGACCUCCAUAUGCCGCGGCUGUGGUCCUAAAAAGAAACAAAUAAAUAAAAAAGAGUAGAGUAUUAGGUAUGCUUUUGUGUGUACUUCUGCCUGAUCAUAGGGCACAAUCCAGAGAGUUUGGACUAGCUUCCAGAGCCUGAACAGGUUUCGCUAUCUUUUGCAGUGAUCAUGUAACUCUUAGAUUCUCUCUACACUCUUGUCCGGCACCUAGAACACCCCGGGGCUCAGGACCGCCUGUGGACUUGCUCUGCCAUAGCUCAGGCAGUUGCAGGCACAAGAGUAUGGCUUUUGGGGAAUUCCCGUCACGGCACAGAGGAAACCAAUCCGACUAGGAACCAUCAGGUUUCGGGUUCGAUCCCUGGCCUUGAUCAGUGGGUUAAGGAUCUGGCGUUGCCAUGAGCUGUGGUGUAGGCUGCAGAUGUGGCUUGGAUCCUGCAUUGCUGUGGCUGUGGUGUAGGCCAGCAGCUACAGCUCCGAUUCGACCCCUAGCCUGGGAACCUCCGUAUGCCUCGGGUGCGGCCCUAAAAAGACAAAUACAUAUAUGGCUUUUGCAUUUAAAUACUGCCUCUGGGUUCAAAUCCUGAUCCUGCUACUCAUUAGCCCUGAGACCUUCAAUAAUUAUAUGAAUCUUUGGAGUCUUAUCUGCAAAAUGGGCAUGUGGAUCCCGAUAGUCCUCAUUUAUCCAGUCAAGCAGCAUAUUUUUAGGUCCUCCUGCAUGUCGCCCUGCUCUCCAAGCGUUUACAGUCUGGGGCACGGCAGCCAUGUCUGUAAGUGUUUCAUGUAUUAGGUGAGAAUGUAUCUAAACUUGAACUCUUGUAGUGAUGGGAGCCCAGGGUAUGUGAAUGCAUUUACUCCCGCUGGACCUUGUGCUUAAAAAUGGUGAAGGUGAGGGAGUUUCCUGAUGGUCUAGUGGUUAGGACUCAGCAUUUUCAUCACUGUAGCCUGGGUUCAAUCCCUGCUCUGGGAAUUGAGAUCCCACAUCAAGCAUCACUACAUGCCAUAGCACCCCCCCAAAACAAAAAGUGGUGAGGGCGACACAUUUCAUGCUAUGCACAUUUUUUUCAAUUACAUACAGUAAAAUGCAAGAAAAUAUAUCUCUAAAAAAGCGAGUAUGAUGCCUGACACAAAGUAGGCAGCUGGUGAACAUUUCCCUUUGUUUUGUUUUGUUUUGUUUUUUCCGCGGAUGGCUACUGGCAAGCUGUAAAUGCAACAGCUACCCGAGUUUCACCCCAUUAGAAGGGCUUGCUUCUGGCAGCAUUUUCUGGUUGCAUGAGUGGAGUGGGGAACCUGAGCCUUGGUUCUCUGUCGUCAAGGGACUGACCCUGCAGAUUUGGUGAACCAGGACACAAGCAAACCUGGUUUCUUUCUUUGUCCACGCGUUUUUAUCCAGAGCCUGUCUUCAUUCUGAAACGUGAGAGAGAAUUCUAGAAGCUUCUUUCAGGCAGCAUUCAGCAGGCUGUGAGAGUUCAUUUCCUCCAGGAUGAUGUCUGAGAAACGGGAAGGCGUCCCCUAAGCCCGUUCCGAGCUGGAGGCAAGAAGUCAGGAUGCGCCACGCAGAAGGCCUGUCAGUCUUCCGCCAUCUGUGCGCCCGUUCGCUGGACUCAUCGUGCCAGCGGGUUUGCAUCCCAGAAGAAGGAAAAUUCCGCCCGAUCGUCCCUGUCCUCACCCACUCCCUGACACAGUAGACAGAGGCUGAGGAAUUACGGUUCUAAGGGCCUCAGAAAGCGGGUGUGAGCUGGGAAGCGGCUGCUGAUACGGUUCCGGGGCACACCUGGCGAGCCGCUCCUUCGGGGACGUGCUCGGGCCUGAGUGUGUUGGAGCUUCAGCUCCCUCGGUGCCAGGAAGACGUAACCUUGCUUGCGUGUCACCCAUAUGUUAGCAUAGGACCGAAACCUCUGGUUCUGAAUGGAAAUAAGAUAGUGUCUUUGCUCUAUGGAAUUCCCGCUGUGGCUCAAGGGGAUUGGCGGUAUCGCGGCAGCGCCUGGGCGCAGGUUAGAUUCCUGGCUGGGCACAGUGGGUUAAGGAUCUGGCAUUGCUGCAUCUGUGGCAUAGGUCACAACUGCAGCUCAGAUCUGAUCCCUGGCCCAGGAACGCCACAUGCUGCAGGGCGACCAAAAGUGAAACAAAGAGAUACUUCUUUCGCUUUAAAUAUGACACAGAAUGGAUGGAUGCCACUAGAGAUUAUCAUACUGAGUGGAGUGGGUCAGAAAGAGAAAGAUGAAUACCAUAUGACACCGCUUAUAAGUGGAAUCUAAAACAAACUUACAGGAGUUCCCGUCGUGACUCAGCAGUUAACGAACCUGACUAGCAUCCAUGAGGUUGCAGGUUCGAUCCCUGGCCUUGCUCAGUGGGUUAAGAAUCCAGCAUUGCCGUGAGCUGUGUUGUAGGUUGCAGACACGGCUCAGAUCCUGCGUUGCUGUGGCUGUGGCGCAGGCCAGCAGCUGUAGCUCCAAUAUGACCUUUGGCCUGGGAGCUUCCAUAUGCCGCAGGUGUGGCCCUAAAAAGCAGAAAAAAAAAAAAAAA